rnacentral:rRNA from 1 species
GACAGAGGAUGCAAGCGUUAUCCGGAAUUAUUGGGCGUAAAGAGCUCGUAGGCGGUUUGUCGCGUCUGCCGUGAAAGUCCGGGGCUCAACCCCGGACUUGCAGUGGGUACGGGCAGACUAGAGUGUGGUAGGGGAGACUGGAAUUCCUCGGUGUAGCGGUGAAAUGCGCAGAUAUCAGGAGGAACACCGGUGGCGAAGGCGGCGACCUGGUCCUUUACUGACGCUGAGGCGCGAAAGCGUGGGGAGCAAACAGG